UUUGACCUCGGAUCAGGUAGGGAUACCCGCUGAACUUAAGCAUAUCAAUAAGCGGA
rnacentral:rRNA from 2 species